AUCUAUACAUGCAGUCGAGCGAAUCACUGGGAGCUUGCUCCUGGUGGUUAGCGGCGGACGGGUGAGUAACACGUGGGCAACCUGCCUGUAAGACUGGGAUAACACCGGGAAACCGGUGCUAAUACCGGAUAAUCCUUUUCCUCUCAUGAGGAAAAGCUGAAAGUCGGUUUCGGCUGACACUUACAGAUGGGCCCGCGGCGCAUUAGCUAGUUGGUGAGGUAACGGCUCACCAAGGCGACGAUGCGUAGCCGACCUGAGAGGGUGAUCGGCCACACUGGGACUGAGACACGGCCCAGACUCCUACGGGAGGCAGCAGUAGGGAAUCUUCCACAAUGGACGAAAGUCUGAUGGAGCAACGCCGCGUGAGCGAUGAAGGCCUUCGGGUCGUAAAGCUCUGUUGUUAGGGAAGAACAAGUACCGGAGUAACUGCCGGUACCUUGACGGUACCUAACCAGAAAGCCACGGCUAACUACGUGCCAGCAGCCGCGGUAAUACGUAGGUGGCAAGCGUUGUCCGGAAUUAUUGGGCGUAAAGCGCGCGCAGGCGGUCCUUUAAGUCUGAUGUGAAAGCCCACGGCUCAACCGUGGAGGGUCAUUGGAAACUGGGGGACUUGAGUGCAGAAGAGGAAAGCGGAAUUCCACGUGUAGCGGUGAAAUGCGUAGAGAUGUGGAGGAACACCAGUGGCGAAGGCGGCUUUCUGGUCUGUAACUGACGCUGAGGCGCGAAAGCGUGGGGAGCAAACAGGAUUAGAUACCCUGGUAGUCCACGCCGUAAACGAUGAGUGCUAAGUGUUAGAGGGUUUCCGCCCUUUAGUGCUGCAGCUAACGCAUUAAGCACUCCGCCUGGGGAGUACGGCCGCAAGGCUGAAACUCAAGGAAUUGACGGGGCCCGCACAAGCGGUGGGAGCAUGUGGUUUAAUUCGAAGCAACGCGAAGAACCUUACCAGGUCUUGACAUCCUCUGACACUCCUAGAGAUAGGACGUUCCCCUUCGGGGACAGAGUGACAGUGUGCAUGUUGUCGUCAG
rnacentral:rRNA from 1 species